AAUUUUGGACAAUGGGGGCAACCCUGAUCCAGCCAUCCCGCGUGUGCGAUUAAGGCCUUCGGGUUGUAAAGCACUUUUGGCAGGGAAGAAAAGGCGCGGACUAAUACCCAGCGCCGCUGACGGUACCUGCAGAUUAAGCUGCGGACAACUCCGUGCCAGCAUCCGCGGUAAAACGUAGGGUGCAAGCGUUAAUCGGAAUUACUGGGCGUAAAGCGUGCGCAGGCGGUUCGGCAAGAAGGAUGUGAAAUCCCGGGGCUUAACCUCGGAACUGCAUUCUUAACUGCCGGGCUAGAGUAUGUCAGAGGGGGGUAGAAUUCCACGUGUAGCAGUGAAAUGCGUAGAGAUGUGGAGGAAUACCGAUGGCGAAGGCAGCCCCCUGGGAUGAUACUGACGCUCAUGCACGAAAGCGUGGGGAGCAAACA
rnacentral:rRNA from 1 species